GACGAACGCUGGCGGCGUGCCUAAUACAUGCAAGUCGAGCGAACCCGGGGUGCUUGCACCCUGAGGGUUAGCGGCGGACGGGUGAGUAACACGUGGGGAACCUGCCUUGCUGUCUGGGAUAACACCGGGAAACCGGUGCUAAUACCGGAUGUCCCCUUUCCGGCACCUGCCGGAGAGGGAAAAGGCGGCUUUGAGCCGCCGCAGCAAGAGGGGCCCGCGGCGCAUUAGUUAGUUGGCAGGGUAACGGCCUCCCAAGGCGACGAUGCGUAGCCGGGCUGAGAGGGUGCUCGGCCACACUGGGACUGAGACACGGCCCAGACUCCUACGGGAGGCAGCAGUAGGGAAUCAUCCGCAAUGGACGAAGGUCUGACGGUGCAACGCCGCGUGAGUGAUGAAGGUUUUCGGAUCGUAAAGCUCUGUUGUGAGGGAAGAAUAGGAUGGGGAGGAAAUGCCCGAUCUGUGACGGUACCUCACCAGAAAGCCCCGGCUAACUACGUGCCAGCCGCCGCCGUAA
rnacentral:rRNA from 1 species